AUUGAACGCUGGCGGCAUGCCUUACACAUGCAAGUCGAACGGCAGCACGGGAGCAAUCCUGGUGGCGAGUGGCGAACGGGUGAGUAAAGUAUCGGAACGUGCCCAGUCGUGGGGGAUAACGUAGCGAAAGUUACGCUAAUACCGCAUACGAUCUAUGGAUGAAAGCGGGGGAUCGCAAGACCUCGCGCGAUUGGAGCGGCCGAUAUCAGAUUAGGUAGUUGGUGGGGUAAAGGCUCACCAAGCCGACGAUCUGUAGCUGGUCUGAGAGGACGACCAGCCGCACUGGGACUGAGACACGGCCCAGACUCCCACGGGAGGCAGCAGUGGGGAAUUUUGGACAAUGGGCGCAAGCCUGAUUCAGCCAUGCCGCGUGCAGGAUGAAGGCCUUCGGGUUGUAAACUGCUUUUGUACGGAGCGAAAAGGUUUGACUUAAUACGUUGGACUCAUGACGGUACCGUAAGAAUAAGCACCGGCUAACUACGUGCCAGCCGCCGCGGUAA
rnacentral:rRNA from 1 species